CUAACAAGGAUUCCCCCAGUAACGGCGAGUGAAGCGGGAAUAGCUCAAAUUUGAAAUCUCCGACGCUUGCGUGCGAGUUGUAGUUGCGAGAAGCACUUUCUCGGCGGAUCGGGCGUGCCUAAGUUGCUUGGAACAGUACGUCGCAGAGGGUGACAACCCCGUUUGUGGCACGGCCGACCGCUCACGAUGUGCUUUCGAAGAGUCGGGUUGUUCGGGAAUGCAGCCCAAAACGGGUGGUAACUCCAUCUAAAGCUAAAUAUUGACGUGAGACCGAUAGCGAAGGAAACGAAUGGACUCAGCAAUGCGCCGUUUUGAGAUUCAGCCGGCCGGCGGGAUCGGCUCGGGGUGUGCGGAUCUGAAUAGACCGCUAUCUCGGGCUCGUUUCUCUCGGCCGUCGCACUUCUCUUGGGCGCACGUCAACGUCGGUUGGGANNGGGUCUGAAAGGUUCCGGGAAGGUAGGUCCGCGCGUUCCUUGGCGUUCGCGCGUUCUGUUACAGCCCGGUUCUCUUGCGGCUCGGGCCCGACCGAGGCGGUUGCAGCGCAUGCCUCUUUUGGCUAGGGUCCCGUCCGUCCGGCCGGUCGUCGACCGCGGUGGACUGCUUGCAGUGCUCCGCGACNNCUGCCGGUCGUUUGGGCGGUGAUCU
rnacentral:rRNA from 1 species